rnacentral:lncRNA from 1 species
CCGCCUAUUUGGCCGGGUCGCGGCGCCGCAACAGAUCGCCGAACGGACAGGGUUUCCCCUGUGCUGCGGACAGAGUCUCCCCUGUACGUUCAAGGCAUAGCAAUCAAUACAAUGUACAAAGUUCCAACCAGGAACACAUUUCAAUCAAGAUUGCAUAAUGGAAGGUAUCAAACAACAUAACACAUCUUAUGUUAUUACAUGCAUUCACAUUCAUACAUUUUACAUUCCAAAUACUUAUUACAUUUAACUUCCAAAUACAAUCCGAUUUAACAUGAUUAUUACAAUCUUAUUCCUUUCAUUUUCUUACAUCUUUAAGAAAAGCCGACUCAGGGCACCGCUAUCUUUGGUCUCGGUGGUAGGGCGCUAACUAUGAUGCUACGCCCUCGCCUCGCGCCGCCGCGCCGCUCACGUGCGAACCUGUAAACACCCCAAAACCACGUGGGGUGAGAACCAACUCCAUGGUUCCCAGUGGGUACGGCCACCCAAGGGAAAAGCUCGACCAAUAGGUCCAAGGGAGGCAACUGCAAGUUAGUUCAAUAAACAGAUAGAUAUAUAUCUUGAUUAUGCAACGAAUAAAACCAUGCAUUGCCUCACGAAUGCAAUAAUGCAAUGCUAUAUGCAAAUCAUGCAAUAAUGCAACUAUGCAACCAACUAGUAGUUCAUUCGAUACUACUUUCAAUUCUGCUAACUAUAGCUCAUCCGUUUGAUAUCUAAGGUUUCCUCUAUCUUAAAUUCUUGUCAAUCACCGUUUUAAUCAUAAAGUUCCAUCUACCUUUACAAGGCUAACCACCCGACUCGGUCUUGAGUCAAUCGUCUGUGGAGUACCGCACUAGAACCAGGCUCGAGGCGAUGGACGUCUCACAUACACCUCAGCCCUAGAUCCUCUCAACUGGGAUACCAAAUCCAUAACUCAUAAUGCAUACUUGUUGUACACUCAUUUGGCUAUGACCCAAUCUUACCGGUUAACCAUGUUAACCCCAAUAACUCACAACCAAAUUCCUUAAUAACGGGGGACUCGAACCUCCCUAGGGACCGUCAACUGGUGGGCCUUUACCACGCCCAGUGGUGACCAACUCCGGAGCGCACCGCCCGAGGGGGAGCUACCUCCCUCAAGCCAAGACGUAACGUGAGUAUCGAUCCAAUCCUCAACUUGAGGAUUCAUAGCCACUCGUCACAAUGCCAAUGUCAUGAUAGGUCUCUACCUAUUUAAUCAUGCCACUCUCUAUGUCAACUUGGACCAAUGUCAAUAUGGUUAAACUAUGUUUAACAAUCACUUUCUUGAUGCCAAUCAUGUCUCUAUUGUCAUUGUCACCCUUGUUUACUAAUGUUCAAGUCCAACUCUCACAUUUACACAAUAAUAGGGUCCUAACAUACAUGAAUGACACCCGAAUAUACAUGAUCAAUCACCACAAGUGUUUGCUAGGUUCAAGAUGCUAGGUUUAAUGCCACUCGAUCUAAUAUAUAUAUAGAUUGUCCACUAUGUUCCACAACAUGGCAAUAUAUCAUCAAGUAUGUUUUUCUAUUUAACAUAAUCCACAAUAUGUAAAUUCACAAUAUAUCAUCAUGCACAUAUACCACUAACAUCACAUGAUAUGUCAACAUACAUAUAGUCAUUAUCCAAAAUAGUCCAUACUUAGCAUCUCAUGCAUUCUUUUAGCACUUAAUUCAUUAUGCAUUACAUUUAGCAUAUUCUACAACAUGUCAUCAUAUAUUCCUUUUAUGAUGUUCUUAUAAUGCUAACAUUCAUACGCCCUUUAUAUUAUGCAUUAAUCAUAUGCAUCCAUUUAGCAUUUCUAUAGUAUGUUAACAUGCAUUCUUUUCACAUUCUUAUAUUAUGUCAAUAUGCAUCAAUAUGAAAUCUCAUUUCUUAGACAUAAAGGGCGACCUCGUCGCUUCGGUAAGCACAACCCACCUCAUUUCGCAUUCCGAUUGCUUGUCGACACUUGCAAUCGGCCUCCCGCGGCACCCGGCACUCGGUUUGGCCCGAUCUCUUGCGCGACCAACCGAACGGCCUCCAAUUCACGAUCCGAAAAUUAAGGGUCUUCGGUUAUGUGCCACGAUGCUUCAAAUCCAUUUUCAUGAAUUUACGAUAUCGCCUCGGCCCUCCCGGCGGACUCGAAGCCUAAACGUCCAUUUCUUUAAUAACUUUGUAACGGCUCGUCGGAUUGCCGAACCGUCUUCGCCAACGCGUUCGUUUACCUAGCAAUUAGGUUUACAUAGGGUCAAAUGAGAUCAAACCCUCAUAUUUACCAAAUUAGCAUUUUUGAGCCCUAGAUUACAACUAGGUAAAAAUCCACCAUUAGAGCCUUGAUUUCAAGCAUCAAUCCUCUAAUUAGCAUACUAGAAUACCUCUAAAUCCACUCUUAGAGCUUAAAAAUCAAACUAGAGAGAAAUGCCAUUAAAGGGUUUGAAGCUUACCUUCAAAGCUUGCUCCAAUGGAGAGGAAGAAGACGAAGAAGAUGAAGAUCAACUUCCAAGCUUGCUUCUCCACCAAAACCUCCAAUUUUUGGGAGAGAUUUAGAGAGAAAAUGGGAGGUUCCUCUUUCUCCCUCUCCAAGCAUGUGUGCGUGUGUGUCGCGUGGGUGUG